rnacentral:rRNA from 1 species
CGUUCCCCUUCGGGGGGACAGGGUGACAGGUGGUGCAUGGUUGUCGUCAGCUCGUGUCGUGAGAUGUUGGGUUAAGUCCCGCAACGAGCGCAACCCUCGACCUUAGUUGCCAGCAUUCAGUUGGGCACUCUAAGGUGACUGCCGGCUAAAAGUCGGAGGAAGGUGGGGAUGACGUCAAAUCAUCAUGCCCCUUAUGACCUGGGCUACACACGUGCUACAAUGGGCGGUACAAAGGGUCGCGAACCCGCGAGGGGGAGCCAAUCCCAAAAAGCCGCUCUCAGUUCGGAUUGCAGGCUGCAACUCGCCUGCAUGAAGCCGGAAUCGCUAGUAAUCGCGGAUCAGCAUGCCGCGGUGAAUACGUUCCCGGGCCUU